rnacentral:rRNA from 1 species
AAUUAAGCGAGAAAGGGCGCACAGGGGAUGCCUAGGCGCCAGAUGCCGAAGAAGGACGUGGUUGACUGCGAAAAGCCUCGAGGAGCCGUCAGCAGGCGAGAGGACUCGGGGAUAUCCGAAUGGGGAAACCCGGCCAGGCUAAUCCCUGGUCAUCCGUAGUGGAACACAUAAGCUACGGAGGGGAACCCGGGGAACUGAAACAUCUCAGUACCCGGAGGAAAAGAGAGCAUUCCGUGAGUAGUGGCGAGCGAAAGCGGAGGAGCCCAAACCGCCCGUUUCGGCGGGCGGGGUAGAAGGACCCGCCAUAAGGAGUGAGAAAACGUUUCAUUAGGGGAAGCGUGUGGAAAAGCGGACCGGAGAGGGUGACAGUCCCGUACCCGAAAAUGGAGCGUCUCCGGCGGGGAUCCUGAGUACCACGGGACACGAGGAAUCCUGUGGGAAGCAGGGGAGCCCACUCUCCAAGGCUAAAUACAUCUGGCGACCGAUAGUGGACAAGUACCGUGAGGGAAAGGUGAAAAGGACCGCGGUGAGCGGAGUGAAAGAGAACCUGAAACUGUGUGCCUACAAUCAGUCGGAGGGCGAUGCCGCGAUAGAGCGGGAGGCCUGACGGCGUGCCUUUUGGAGAAUGAACCAACGAGUUGCGUCUCAGUUGCGAGGUUAAGCCAGUUACAGGCGGAGCCGAAGCGAAAGCGAGUCUGAAGAGGGCGUUUAGUAGCUGGGAGCAGACACGAAACCGGGUGAGCUAACCAUGUCCAGGGUGAAGCGGGAGUAAAAUUUCGUGGAGGCCCGAACGGGUGUACGUUGAAAAGUGCUCCGAUGAGGUGUGGUUAGGGGUGAAAUGCCAAACGAACCCGGAGAUAGCUUGUUCUCCCCGAAACAGCUUUAGGGCUGGCGUUGCGCGAUGAGUGUCGGAGGUAGAGCACUGGAUUGGCUAGGGGGCGUAGAGCUUACCAAACCAAACCAAACUCCGAAUGCCGGCAUAUUGAGCGUGGCAGUUGGACUAUGGGAGAUGAGUUCCAUAGUCGAGAGGGGAAGAGCCCAGACCGUCGGCUAAGGUCCCGAAGGGUGUGCUAAGUGGGAAAGGAUGUGAGACUACCGAGACAGCCAGGAGGUUGGCUUAGAAGCAGCCAUCCUUUAAAGAGUGCGUAAUAGCUCACUGGUCAAGUGGUUUUGCGCCGAAAAUGUAACGGGGCUCAAGCACACUACCGAAGCCGCGGAUACCGCGAGAGCGGUAUGGUAGGGGAGCGUUCUGCAGGAGAGACGAGGCGUACCGGAAGGAGCGGUUGCGGCCUGCAGAAGUGAGAAUGUUGGUAUGAGUAGCGCGAGCGAUGUGAGAACCAUCGCCACCGGAAGUCUAAGGUUUCCGACGGAAGGGUAAUCCGCGUCGGGUUAGUCGGGCCUAAGCCGAGGCCGGAAGGCGUAGGCGAUGGACAACAGGUUAAUAUUCCUGUACCACCACACUGGAGCGAAGGCGUGACGCAGAAGGGUAGGCCAGCCGGGGGAUGGAUCGUCCCGGUGCCGGGCCCGUAGGGCGAAGAGGCGCGCAGGGAAAGCCGCGCGCGGAGUCUGAGGGGUCGUGGCGGAGCCGCAAGGCCGGAAGUGGUUGAUCCCAAGCUGCCGAGAAAAGCGUCUAAGUGGAGAAGGUGUGGUGCCCGUACCGCAAACCGACACAGGUAGACGGGUAGAGGAUACCAAGGUGGACGAGCGAACCCUCGUUAAGGAAUUCGGCAAAAAGGGUCCGUAACUUAGGGAGAAGGACCGCCCCUGCGGGUGAAGGCUGAACAGCUGGAGCGUGCGGGGGUUGCAGAGAAGAGGCCCUGUCGACUGUUUAACAAAAACACAGGUCUCUGCGAACUCGAAAGAGGAAGUAUAGGGGCUGACACCUGCCCAGUGCCGGAAGGUUAAAGGGAGGGGUUAGCCGGAAGGCGAAGCUCUGAACUGAAGCCCCGGUGAACGGCGGCCGUAACUAUAACGGUCCUAAGGUAGCGAAAUUCCUUGUCGGGUAAGUUCCGACCCGCACGAAAGGUGUAACGAACGGGGCACUGUCUCAACGAGGGGCUCGGCGAAAUUGAACUGCGCGUGAAGAUGCGCGCUACCUGCAGCAGGACAAAAAGACCCCGUGGAGCUUUACUGCAGCUUGACAUUGAGUUAGGGGCAAGUUUGUGUAGGAUAGCUGGGAGACUAAGAAGCCUGGGCGCCAGCCUGGGUGGAGUCGUCGUUGAAAUACCAGCCUGACUUGUUCUUGGCCCUAACGUGCGGCCGUGAUCCGGCGUGCGGACAGUGUCAGGUGGGCAGUUUGACUGGGGCGGUCGCCUCCUAAAGCGUAGCGGAGGCGCCCAAAGGUUCCCUCAGGCUGAAUGGAAACCAGCCGGAGAGUGCAAAGGCAAAAGGGAGCUUGACUGCGAGAAGGACAAUUCGAGCAGGGUCGAAAGACGGGCUUAGUGAUCCCACGGUACUGAGUGGAAGGGCCGUGGCUUACCGGAUAAAAGCUACCCCGGGGAUAACAGGCUGGUCUCCCCCAAGAGUUCACAUCGACGGGGAGGUUCGGCACCUCGAUGUCGGCUCGUCGCAUCCUGGGGCUGGAGUAGGUCCCAAGGGUUGGGCUGUUCGCCCAUUAAAGCGGUACGCGAGCUGGGUUCAGAC